GGUGAACGCUGGCGGCGUGCCUAAUACAUGCAAGUCGAGCGAACAGACGAGGAGCUUGCUCCUUUGACGUUAGCGGCGGACGGGUGAGUAACACGUGGGUAACCUACCUAUAAGACUGGGAUAACUUCGGGAAACCGGAGCUAAUACCGGAUAAUAUUUCGAACCGCAUGGUUCGAUAGUGAAAGAUGGCUUUGCUAUCACUUAUAGAUGGACCUGCGCCGUAUUAGCUAGUUGGUAAGGUAACGGCUUACCAAGGCAACGAUACGUAGCCGACCUGAGAGGGUGAUCGGCCACACUGGAACUGAGACACGGUCCAGACUCCCACGGGAGGCAGCAGUAGGGAAUCUUCCGCAAUGGGCGAAAGCCUGACGGAGCAACGCCGCGUGAGUGAUGAAGGUCUUCGGAUCGUAAAACUCUGUUAUUAGGGAAGAACAAACGUGUAAGUAACUGUGCACGUCUUGACGGUACCUAAUCAGAAAGCCACGGCUAACUACGUG
rnacentral:rRNA from 1 species